rnacentral:rRNA from 1 species
AGAGCGAACGCUGGCGGCAGGCUUAACACAUGCAAGUCGAGCGGGCGUAGCAAUACGUCAGCGGCAGACGGGUGAGUAACGCGUGGGAACGUACCUUUGGUUCGGAACAACCCAGGGAAACUUGGGCUAAUACCGGAUAAGCCCUUACGGGGAAAGAUUUAUCGCCGAAAGAUCGGCCCGCGUCUGAUUAGCUAGUUGGUGAGGUAAUGGCUCACCAAGGCGACGAUCAGUAGCUGGUCUGAGAGGAUGAUCAGCCACAUUGGGACUGAGACACGGCCCAAACUCCUACGGGAGGCAGCAGUGGGGAAUAUUGGACAAUGGGCGCAAGCCUGAUCCAGCCAUGCCGCGUGAGUGAUGAAGGCCCUAGGGUUGUAAAGCUCUUUUGUGCGGGAAGAUAAUGACGGUACCGCAAGAAUAAGCCCAGGCUAACUUCGCGCCAGCAGCCGC